GGUACCAUGCUCUGACCUCAGCCUGAAAAGCGAAAGGCAUUUAACCCCUACCUGAGCAUGUGAAGGAGGGAAGCCUAUUCUCUUUUCUCACGGCUCCUUGAUGAGAGACGCACCAACCAUGGGGCUUCUGAGAAUGAGGGAGACCAUCGUCACAGGGAGAUGCAAAGGCAACUGCUGUCUGAGAUCCAAAGAAGAAUAGUCUCUGAUGUCAAGGAGUUUCCAUCUGGAUGGGAAUUCUCAGGGAGUAUUUUCUAUCCAGGAACAAGGAGGUUAGAUGAUCAUAUGGCUUGUAAGCUUCCACAGAUGGUUUACACCUUGAGAUGAGAAAACCAGGAGAAGCAGAGGUAAGAACCUGUUCAAGAAGGCACAUCUUAGAUGUGGAAGAACCAUGAUUCAACUCGAGUCUGUCUGCUUCCCAAGACUGUGGUAUUUAAACAGCUUAUAAUGAAAACUCCUUCUAUAGCUCCCCAUAAAAGGGCACACAGUUCUUUCUUAAUGUAUUAUUUCAGGCAUUCAUUCACCAUUCAUGUAUUUGUGAAGGUGUUCUCUCUAAAUAAACUAUUGGGACCUUACUUGACUGUGACUUCAUUAGUUUAUGACUAAUUAUUUCUCCAACUUGUCAAGAUUAUUCAGAAUUCUGAUUUUACUCUGCAAGGUGUUAGUCAUUUCUUAUACUGUAGGAUUAACCAGAGAGAGACACCCUCUUAGUAACAUGUUUCAAACUGUGACUGCAGAUACCUGUGAG